rnacentral:rRNA from 1 species
GAUGAACGCUAGCGGCAGGCUUAACACAUGCAAGUCGAGGGGCAGCACGGGUAGCAAUACUUGGUGGCGACCGGCGCAAGGGUGCGUAACGCGUGAGCAACAUGCCCGUAUCAGGGGGAUAAUCCAUGGAAACGUGGUCUAAUACCCCAUAGUAAGUUUUUGGGGCAUCUCAAAGAUUUUAAAGCUUUGGUGGAUACGGAUUGGCUCGCGUGACAUUAGCUAGAUGGUAAGGUAACGGCUUACCAUGGCUACGAUGUCUAGGGGUUCUGAGAGGAAGGUCCCCCAACUGGAACUGAGACACGGUCCAGACUCCUACGGGAGGCAGCAGUGAGGAAUAUUGGACAAUGGAUGGAAAUCUGAUCCAGCCAUGCCGCGUGCAGGAAGACGGCCCUAUGGGUUUAAACUGCUUUUGAUGGGAGCAAUAAGAUCUACGUGUAGAUUGAUGAGAGUACCAUACGAAUAAGCACCGGCUAACUCCGUGCC